AUACGUAGGGUGCGAGCGUUGUCCGGAAUUACUGGGCGUAAAGAGCUCGUAGGUGGUUUGUCGCGUCGUCUGUGAAAUUCCUGGGCUUAACUCCGGGCGUGCAGGCGAUACGGGCAUAACUUGAGUACUGUAGGGGAGACUGGAAUUCCUGGUGUAGCGGUGAAAUGCGCAGAUAUCAGGAGGAACACCGGUGGCGAAGACGGGUCUCUGGGCAGUAACUGACGCUGAGGAGCGAAAGCAUGGGUAGCGAACAGGAUUAGAUACCCUGGUAGUCCAUGCCGUAAACGGUGGGCGCUAGGUGUAGGGGUCUUCCACGACUUCUGUGCCGUAGCUAACGCAUUAAGCGCCCCGCCUGGGGAGUACGGCCGCAAGGCUAAAACUCAAAUGAAUUGGCGGGG
rnacentral:rRNA from 1 species